AGUUUUGUUUUGUCUUUGUUCUAGCUAGCUAACAAUUACUGUAGCCUACCAAACAUUUAGUCUUUGUUUGAUACUGUUGCUAGCAAAACGUUUCGCUAGGUACUGUACACAGCUGUAUACAUAGCUUGAAAAAAGGCGAACAUAUGAUCUUAGUUAGCUAACUGGAUAGUUUACUAGCUAGCAAGUAAACAACUACGGUAGUCUGUAGAAAGUCUCACAUACAGAGCGGAGGCAUGUUGGAAAUGCAUGCAUAUUUGCGUAUAUCAUUGGCUUUGCUUACAAAACGACACCAUUAUUUAUUGGCUUCAUUCAAACCCAACGUUGCAUUUAUCGUGCAACUCUAUCUCGGUCGCGCAAGUUGACUAGCAAGGAAUUAGUUUUACUAACAUCAUACUGAAAUUAGAGUUCGUAAUUUAACAUUCGAUUCCUGUAUUUUGUAGCGUUAGUAAUUUGGUUGGUCAAUGACAAACCAAUCCGUGCCGACAACUAGCAUAGCCUUCAAUCGGACUUCUCUUACCGUGUCUUCGCUGUCCGGUAUCCUUCUGAUUGGCUCCAGUACAGGGUUCUAAAGCCCAAUCACCAAAGUGAGCGGACAAAAUGGCGCAAAAGAAACAACAGCGAUGUCGAAGAGAUGCAUGUGACCUUUUAGACGAAGAUAGACGAAAAUGGCCGAUCUAUCACCCGGUAUUUAUUUUAGUAUGUAAUCUCUAACAAGCGUUACCACUGCAUAAAUUAGUAAAAAUGCAUCAAUAUCAAUGCAUUUAGGAAAAUAAUGGUUUGUUGUCUGGUAUUUUCGACCAAGUAGAGACUUAUUUUUAUACCCCACUCCAGUAGGUGGAAGUGUGUGCAGAUGUAGGCUGUGUUUGGGACUGGCGACUAGAAUGUUUGCGGAAGUGCCACAUUGUUUCCACGUGAUAAGCAGGCAUAGCCAGAUAUUUUUAAGCAAAUUAUAUCUGGUCUAGCAGGAGAAUCUUAUUUGGGUGAAUAAAAUGGUUAAUUCUGUCUAUCCAUGUUAGCUAGACACCUGGUUGUGGUUGAACACGUUGUGAUAUGUUAAAUGGAUGUAAGUUAGCUAUCUAGAUGCAUACUCCUUUCCGCUAAGGCGUUCGGUUCUGUAUACUAGCCAAGGUUACUUUCCAUUGCAUUGUGGUUAUUUCUGUUAGGUUACCUUUUUAGCUAGAUCUGACUGAAUAGAAGACCAGGGGGAGAAAAAAAAAAAAAAUCUGCCCGAUUUAGAGUUUUAUUCAAGUAGUGUCUGGUAACCAGUGGUGAGCCUUCAGGUCUCCCUGAUAGCCUCCAGGGUUGGCACAGUGUCUACAUGCAAGCAGCGAUGCCUGGAUAAAACAGAGGCAGACACACAGGGCCUCGGCCCACAAAGACAAUGGGAGGGAGGAGAGGUUUGAAGAAGAUAUGGGUGAUGUAGGUGACAAGGUCCCGGCUGGGCUCAGUUGAGAAACAUCUAUCCUAAAACUGAAUCAUAGGCAUAGCCUGGUCCCACAUCUGUUUAAGUGGCCAUUCUGACAACCACCGCGAGACAGUUGGCGAUGCAAAGAUAUCUGGGACCACCAGGCUAUUGAAGGGUGCCUGUUACUGUAGCAGAAUGACAUGUUGAUGUGCUGGUUAAAAGCACUGCCACAAUGGUAGCUUACAUGGUACACUAGCCACUUUCACCCUGUCAGUGAUCGUUCCACACUGCAUCUAAGAUAAUAUCAUAUUUAUCAAGUCAUCACUCCACACACUCUAGGCCUAAUGCCGACUGUCACCUUCCCUGUUUUCAGUGAAGAGAGGAGACUGAGCUGGGACGCCAUGUAGCAGAUCAGGUGAGGAAGCUCCAGAGAGGAGACUGAGCUGGGACACCAUGCAGCAGAUCAGGUAUCUGAAGCAGGAGCUACCAGAGGAAUGGACCGUUGACCAUAUGUCCGAGGGCUUCUCUUUCCAUCGUGACAUCUUCCUCAGAGUCCUCCGGAGCAAGUUCACCCCCACCCCAGAGAGGAAAGGGAAACAGGACUCCAGCAUGUGGGCCAGGCUGAGAGAGCAGGCCCUACCUGGAGGUGGGGCAGGGUAGACGGCAGGCCCUACCUGGGGAUAGAGGAACAGGGUAGGCGGCAGGCCCUACCUGGGGAUAGAGGAACAGGGUAGGCGGCAGGCCCUACCUGGGGAUAGAGGAACAGGGUAGGCGGCAGGCCCUACCUGGGGAUAGAGGAACAGGGUAGGCGGCAGGCCCUACCUGGGGAUAGAGGAACAGGGUAGGCGGCAGGCCCUACCUGGGGAUAGAGGAACAGGGUAGGCGGCAGGCCCUACCUGGGGAUAGAGGAACAGGGUAGGCGGCAGGCCCUACCUGGGGAUAGAGGAACAGGGUAGGCGGCAGGCCCUACCUGGGGAUAGAGGAACAGGGUAGGCGGCAGGCCCUACCUGGGGAUAGAGGAACAGGGUAGGCGGCAGGCCCUACCUGGGGAUAGAGGAACAGGGUAGGCGGCAGGCCCUACCUGGGGAUAGAGGAACAGGGUAGGCGGCAGGCCCUACCUGGGGAUAGAGGAACAGGGUAGGCGGCAGGCCCUACCUGGGGAUAGAGGAACAGGGUAGGCGGCAGGCCCUACCUGGGGAUAGAGGAACAGGGUAGGCAGCAGGUCUUACCUGGAGGUGGGACAGGGAGGCAACAGGCCCUACCUGGGGAUAGAGGAACAGGGGAGGCAACAGGCCCUACCUGGAGGUGGGACAGGCAACAGGCCCUACCUGGGGAUAGAGGAACAGGGGGACAGGGUAGGCAGCAGGUCCUUCCUGGGGGUGGAGGUGGGACAGGGUAGGCGGCAGCUGCCUGGCUCUGACAGCAGCAGUAGCACACCAGCCAUGCCACCCAAAGGAAGUGGCACAGGUGCCUUGGUCCUCCUGACCAGCCAGAGUCUGAUACCCAGGGAGGGGAGGAUUGCCCUAGACCCAUGACUAUUGGAAACAGCCCUGCUCCUCCGGCCUCAUUACCCACCCGCUCUCAACCGUACCCACCCUGCACAGCAGACGCACCUCAGGACAAGAGAACUCUAGAGAGAGGAGGAGAAAGACGAGCAGAUGGAGAGAUGGGAUGGAACGGCGUUAUCAGAGGAAGAACUGGAGGCACUAAUGCAGUCUACAAAGCCCUGGCCUGUGGUACAGAAUGGAAAAUAGUUAUUUUCUUCUGAGGGAAACUUCCUGUACAGAAUCUGAAGUUGAGAUGUUUAUAUUUUGAUGAUUUCUCUGUAAUGUAGUAAUAUGCAAACUUUAUUUAAAGAUGACAAUGACUGAUAAUGCCACAUUAUUUAUCUGUUAAGGUUUGAUUUUACAUUCUUGUAUCAUCAAGUUGUUUUUCUGAACGUUAACAAAAUAAAAUCUACUCUUAUGCAAUAUAUAUGAGCAGAAAACUUAAAGGAACAAGUUGAUUUAUUAGCCAAUAACCCAAAGCAAAAUCACCUCAAUUAUAUUGAACUACACAGCAGAUACAAAGAUGUAACGAUUCCAGAACUUUCUCACAUUGUAUUAUUACUUUAUACAGCCAUUUUAAAAUGUAAUAGAUGUCACCUUUCAAAUCUCAAUACAUAAAACCUUCAUGAAUGAAUCAUUCAGAACA